rnacentral:rRNA from 1 species
UACGGAGGGUGCAAGCGUUAUCCGGAUUUACUGGGUUUAAAGGGUGUGUAGGCGGACCUUUAAGUCAGCGGUGAAAUCUCCGGGCUCAACCCGGAAACUGCCAUUGAUACUAUUUGUCUUGAAUGUUGUUGAGGUGGGCGGAACGGGUCAUGUAGCGGUGAAAUGCAUAGAUAUGACCCGGAACACCGAUUGCGAAGGCAGCCCACUAAGCAACGAUUGACGCUGAGGCACGAAAGCUAGGGGAGCGAACGGG